GACGAACGCUGGCGGCGUGCCUAAUACAUGCAAGUAGAACGCACAGUUUAUACCGUAGCUUGCUACACCAUAGACUGUGAGUUGCGAACGGGUGAGUAACGCGUAGGUAACCUGCCUGGUAGCGGGGGAUAACUAUUGGAAACGAUAGCUAAUACCGCAUAAUAUUAAUUAUUGCAUGAUAAUUGAUUGAAAGAUGCAACUGCAUCACUACCAGAUGGUCCUGCGUUGUAUUAGCUAGUAGGUGAGGUAACGGCUCACCUAGGCGACGAUACAUAGCCGACCUGAGAGGGUGAUCGGCCACACUGGGACUGAGACACGGCCCAGACUCCUACGGGAGGCAGCAGUAGGGAAUCUUCGGCAAUGGACGAAAGGCUGACCGAGCAACGCCGAGUGAGUGAAGAAGGUUUUCGGAUCGUAAAGCUCUGUUGUAAGGGAAGAAAGGGUGUGAGAGUGGAAAGUUCACACUGUGACGGUAUCUGACCAGAAAGGGACGGCUAACUACGUG
rnacentral:rRNA from 1 species